GUACGAGGAUGUCAAGAUGUGAUGAAGGCGGAGUUGAAGAACACUUUGGGUGUACAGACGGAAGCUCUGAGUGAGCGGUAUUUGGGUCUUCCAACACUGGUUGGGAGAUCAAAGGAUGGCACUUUCAAAUAUGUGACGGGGAGCUCUAAAGGAAAGGUGUGUGGAUGGAAGGGGCAGGGACUGUCUAAGGCUGCGAGGGAAGUACUUGUCAAAUCAGGUCUACAAUCUGUACCUACUUUCACCAUGAGUUGUUUUUGCCUUACAAAGAAGAUGUGCGGGAAUCUGACUUCUAUCUCUUCAAAAUUC
rnacentral:rRNA from 1 species